UUUGAUCCUGGCUCAGGACGAACGCUGGCGGCGUGCUUAACACAUGCAAGUCUACGAGAACGAGGUAGCAAUAUCUCUAUUAAAGUGGCGCACGGGUGCGUAACACGUAAGCAAUCUACCUUUGGGUCUGGAAUAACUUCGAGAAAUCGGGGCUAAUACCGGAUAAUGCAGCGGCACCGCAUGGUGAUGUUGUUAAAGUUUAAGUAAUGCCUUUAGAUGAGCUUGCGUCUGAUUAGCUAGUUGGUAGAGUAAUAGCCUACCAAGGCAACGAUCAGUAGCUGGUCUGAGAGGAUGAUCAGCCACACUGGAACUGAAACACGGUCCAUACACCUACGGGUGGCAGCAGUAGGGAAUAUUGCUCAAUGGGCGAAAGCCUGAAGCAGCAACGCCGCGUGCGCGAUGAAGGUCUUCGGAUCGUAAAGCGCUUUUAUGAGGGAUGAGAAAGGACAGUACCUCAGGAAUAAGUCUCGGCUAACUACGUGCCAGCAGCCGCGGUAAAACGUAGGAGGCAAGCGUUAUCCGGAUUCACUGGGCGUAAAGCGCGUGCAGGCGGUUCGGUAAGUUGGGCGUGAAAUCUCCUGGCUUAACUGGGAGAGGUCGUCCAAUACUACCGGACUUGAGAGUGAUAGAGGAAGAUGGAAUUCCCGGUGUAGUGGUGAAAUGCGUAGAUAUCGGGAGGAACACCAGUGGCGAAAGCGAUCUUCUGGAUCAUUUCUGACGCUCAGACGCGAAAGCUAGGGUAGUAAACGGGAUUAGAGACCCCGGUAAUCCUAGCCGUAAACGAUGUAAACUUGGCGUUGGUGGCUUAAACACCAUCAGUGCCGCAGCUAACGCGAUAAGUUUACCGCCUGGGGACUACGAUCGCAAGAUUAAAACUCAAAGGAAUUGACGGGGCCCGCACAAGCAGCGGAGCGUGUGGUUUAAUUCGAUGCUACACGAAGAACCUUACCCGGGUUUGACAUGCAAGUGGUAGUGAUCUGAAAGUUGAACGA
rnacentral:rRNA from 1 species